UCUUCCCCCGAUGUCAGCGUGGCCCUGUGUGUCCAUCUCUGCCCCAGGCUGCACACCUAUUGUCGCCCGCAACCCAAACAGCAGCCAAAUCCAGCCCAUCUGCCACGGCUCUAACGCUACCCACUGGAUUCACAGGCUGUGGCAAUUUAAAAAUCUCCUCUUCUGCCUAAUUGCUCUGGUUCGAUUGACUAAACAUGACAGAGCCCAUCGCACGGCGCGGCUGCCCGGUGUGCUGCAGGAACAGACAGCUGUGCUUUCAGCCCUGUAAGCUGAAGACAGAUGCAUCCGCAGACGCUGCCUCUAAGCCCCUAAAACAGAGAGUGUUUCCAGGAACAAAUCCACCUCUUCCACUCCUAGAUGUAUCCACAGACGCUGCGUUCAGUGGCCUGUAAGGACGACUCUCUCUCAGCAGGAAGUAGCCAGAAAGAACAUGCCACACCUCACCCUUUUCAACUAUAGAGUCUGGAUUGACAGAGCAGGAACGUCGCCGUCUUGGACACACACCACCAUUUGAAGUUCUCCUUGAUUAAAGCCCCCAAAAAUCCAGCCCCAAAAACAUCAACCUAAUGUCUAAUAUCAGUGUGACCAUAAACCACAAAUGACACCUUUGGCCAGAAACAUGCCAACCCCAAGACAGACUCCCCUCUGACCCGAAACCUUCCAACCCAGCCAUAAAAAUCC